GACGAACCGUGCGAACGUUGUUCGGAAUCACUGGGCUUAAAGGGCGCGUAGGCGGCAGGCCAAGUCUGUGGUGAAAGUUGUCGGCUCAACCGGCAAAGGGCCGCGGAGACUGGCUUGCUCGAGGGAGGUGAGGGGCAGUGUGGAACUUCCGGUGGAGCGGUGAAAUGCGUAGAUAUCGGAAGGAACGCCGGUGGCGAAAGCGACGUGCUGGACCUCUUCUGACGCUGAGGCGCGAAAGCCAGGGGAGCAAACGGG
rnacentral:rRNA from 1 species